AUCUGAUUCUCCACUCGUCAGAUCCAUGGUGCAUAGAUGCGAUCUUCACGCUCGUCUUGGUUUCUGGAGUUUUUCAUCGGAGAAUUCCUUGAUUCUUUUGUAAAUCAAGGUUGUAUAGUUUUUAUUUGCAGGUACGGAGGCGGAUCGCGAAGCAUAUCAAAAGCAGACUUAUGUUUACCGGUGAUUCAGCUCUUGAACUGUAGGCACUGUAUGAAGUUUGAUACAUCAUGCAUAGAUUUUACAGAUCUUGGAUGUUAUAACUAUGUAUAUGAUUGAGAGCAUUGCAGGAGAGCUAGAAUGGAUGUAGGAUGUAUCAGGAUUAUAUUUCUUGAUGCCCUGAGUGUGUUGAGAAUUAUAUUCUGAAUUAUCUUGUCAUCCGACCUUUGCCAUGUCAGGUGCGCUUGCUUGGCAGGUCAACAAAAUAAAAUAAAAAAAGAUUUGUUGGUUUUUGGGAGAGAUCGCACGGGGAUUUUGCCUGGGUUCUCUCCCCUGUGUGGUGUUUGUCUCUAUUUUUUUCAUGCUUAUUUAUUAUUCCGUAACUCGCUUUACUCUCCAUAGCACCGUCCAAGAAAUUCUCCGACUCUAUAUCAAGGUAUUAUACAUCCAGUAUCAAUUAUCAAUGGUAAAUAACAAUUUAAUUUCAUAUUAAUUUAGAUAUCAAUUUAAGUAUCAAUUUUAGUUUUUGUUAUUUUAGAUUGAUCUGUUAUGAAUUUCAGUUUCAAUUUUAAUUAAUUUCCUUAAAAUCAAUUUCAUAGUUGUCAAUUCAGAAUUAGCGUUCAUCCGCUGCCAUACGGUUUCAUUUCCUAUUAUAAAUAUUAAUAUUAAUUUUGAAUCAAAAUAUAGUUAUUCGUGAAUGGUAAUAUGACCUAAAUGUUGUGGCGGAAGAAACAAAUGGUUUUAAAAUAUAGAAUAUUUACGUCUAUAUAGUUUGUUAGCACCUGUGCAUCUAUUGUCCAGCGACAUUCAUUUGCAUCUAUAUAGUUUGAUCACAGAUAUAUAUUUAUGUUAGAUGUUCAUUGGCAAACUACCAUUUACUAGUACCAACUUGGGGAAUGUAAUUCCAACGUGAGAACAACAACUUGAAUGAAGAAAUGCGUUGGAUUCAGGAAACUUCUGUUUAGGGCCAUCCUCUUCCAUUUUCAAGGUACAAAUUAGCAUUGGUCUAAAAUUUUAUUCGUAGAUGUUGAGGUGGAUUUUCUGGGUAAUCAAAGCUGCAUAAUGCUUAUCUGGUUUUGAGGUGAGAUUGACGGAAUGAUAGUGAGUGACUGCAGUGAGAAUUUCGUGUCAGAAUGUGGCUGCAGUGAUCUGAUUUCUUGUUUCUUCACUCCAUCAUGAAGAAUUACUCAUAGCCCUAUUUUCUUUUACACGACAUGAACAUUAAAGUAAGGCUGUAUUUUGGAGUUUUGGCGCGAUAUGCAGCCGAUAACUUGUCAUUUUGUUGAAGUCCUCAUUUUGGCGCGAUAUGAGCUUUAUUUCAAUAAGUCUUUUUAUAUAUUAUAUAAUUUGUUAAUGUCAGUAUUGAGAUGUAAUUUAAUUGGUUUUAGGGAUUGUGACCUUUCUAAUAUUGAAUUAUAUCUGGUCUGAUAUUUAUCUUUUAAUUAAUGAACAAUAAACCUUAGAUAUUUCUUUACGUCAUCAUUUCCAUGAAAGAUCUGUAGCUCAAAUAGGUAGAGCACUCAGAGCAUUUAUAUUGGAAUCUCUGAGAGGUGGUGGUUCGAAUCCAUCCAGAUUUGCGUUUAUUUGUUUAUUUGUAUAUUUGUAAUUAGUUUUUCUAAAGCCUAUUUUGGAGAAACAACUGGGCGAAGAGUGUCUAAAGAAGGACAAGAGGUAAAGACAGCAGCUAGGUGACGGGGUGGUGUGAGGUACAGAUUUAUUAAAAGAAUAUCUAAUUUGUUUGCAAUAUUUGAUGUUUAUAUAUGAUUGUUGUAAGAUGUACUAACGUGGAAUUGUAAUGAUUGAAGCGUCGUAAGUUUAGCCAUGUGUUUGACAAAGGAAUUGUGUAUUGUGAAAAUACCUUGAAUUUAGCAGCCGCUUAGAAUUUCAAAGAGAAAUUUUGUUAUUCAUUCAGUGAAUCACAACUUGCUUUGCCAUUUAUAGGGGGCUUGGCAGGGACCCGAAAACCGGCCCAACCCACAGCAACUGAUUGCAGAAAAACGAAUUGGGUCGGAUGUACUGGUUUAUCAUUGUUUAGAUUCACUUCCAUUUUUGCGCCGCCUCGAUUCACUUACAUUUUGUGCUGUUCAUGAAGAUUCGUUCGUCACACAGAGACAAGUACCAUUUUUUGUUUGCAGUUUUUGGUGUUUUGUUUUCUUUUUGAAUCAAGCGAUUGUUCGUUUUCAUUUUUUGUUUUGAAUCAUGUGUUUUUCCUUAACAAACUUCAUCUAUAGUCAUUCUUUCUAUGUUCUGAAGAAAAUACGAUUAUGGUUUAAAACUUUACUGAGUUAGGUUUUUUUUUCUUCUUUUUCUAUGCCUCUUUUCUAUUGUUACGCCAUCUUGUUGAAAAGUAUGUUCUACUUUGUUUCUCUACCAUAUGAUUUUCAUUUUCCAUUAGUUUGAAUAUGGUUGAAUUACAGUUUCUCACUCUCUAUAUAACGAGUGUUGUAGGCUUAAGGUGAUUAAGACUUUAAACAUUGAGUGUUGUAGGCUUUCAAACAAUUGUGUAUAGAUCGAUCAAGGUCAAUAUAGCAUGGAAAGAGUCUUAGAGCAAGACCAAUGUAAUUGUUGCGGAGAAGUUUCAACUCGCUUUUGAAAAGUUUGAGGAUGAAGAGUCGAGCUAUAGGGAGUUCUUUGGAAAAGGUAAUCCUCCUAGUAGUGAUGACUGAGACACUUCUAGGGCGUUUAACGUUUUUAUAAAGUUAUUCUAUGAAGCAACUAAGAUUUUUUCCAACUCUCAAAAUGUGAGUUUGCAUACUUGUUUUCACCAAGUGUCUGCCAUUUAUUGUAAGUGGAACAAGCUACUAUGAACUUAAAUGAUGUUUUUGCAAGUGUGGGGAUAUGAUGGAAAAGUAUAAUAAAUAUUGGGGGAAUGCGGGUAAGAUGAACAAGAUGAUAUAUUUUGAUAUUAUUCUUGAUCCAAGAUACAAGUUGAGUUACAUUGAGUGGACGUUUAAGGACAUGUAUGGACUUGGAUCAAAGUUUGGUAGUGAAUUGAUAAAAUCUAUAAAAGAGGAUUUACAAAAAUUGUAUGAUUGGUAUAAGCAAGUUUAUUAAUAAAAACAUAAUUCCACGCACUCUCUUGGUAGUGGUAGAAACAAUGUCUUCAAUGAUGAAACAACUACAACUGUUGCCCGUUAUUCACUUAUGGUUAGAGUCGAUGCUUUUGAGCAACAUUUAGAGGAACAAGACUCAAUUGAUCAACAAAAUGAGCCCGAGGGAUAUAAUUCUAGUAAGUUUGUUAAAAGAGAUCCUAACUUUUACAUUCUUGUGUGGUGGAAACGUAAUUCAUUUGAAUAUCUUAUUUAUCUACAAUGGCUAAAGAUAUUUUAGUCACACCAAUUUCUACCGUUGCUUUCGAAAGCGCUUUUAGCACAAGAGGGAGGGUCAUAGACACCUAUAGGAUUUAUCUAAAUGCUAAAAUCGCAGAGACAAGUAAAUUUAUUACUUUAUUUUGAAUAAAUAUUAUGUUGCAUUGUUGUAUAAUUAUGUCUUUCUAAAAGAUGUUGUAUUGUUUAUUUCAUUAUUUUAGAGUUUCAACAUAUGUCUUCAGCAGCAAGGAGAGGAUCGAGUGUCUCAUCAUCACAGUCUCAGCCACAACCUUCUGGUUGUGCUUGAAAUGGAUGUUAACGAUGUUGUU